CGUGGUACAUGGACGCCACCUUCCGAGUUAUCAACAAACCAUAUUCUCAAUUAUUUUCUAUCCACGCUUUCGUAAAAGCCGGGGAAACCACGAAGCAGGUACCACUUGUCUUUUGUGUAAUGUCCGGGAAGAGUCAGGACGAUUACUACAAGGUUCUCCGGGCAGUGGACAAGAUGCUACCAAGCCAGAUUGCCUUGGAGGGAUUUGUGGUGGAUUUUGAGGCGGGGUUAUGGCAGGCCCUUAGACGCCGUUUUGUAGAUAUAAGAAUUCAAGGAUGCGUGUUUCAUUGGACCCAGGCCGUUUUCCGGAAAAUUCAAGAAAAGGGAUUCCAGACAGCGUACAACGAAAAGGGGGACGUGUUUAAUUAUUUGAGGCGAUUGAUGGCUCUCCCUUUCCUGCCCGAAGAACACGUGGCGGGCAUGUUUGCCCAUUUGAAAGACAGGUGCCCAGAACAGUUAGAGCCGAUAUGUACAUACAUAGAAGAUCAAUGGAUUUCAUCUCGUCUGUUUCCAAUAGAAGAUUGGUGCGUGUUUAUGUUGCCAGUGAGAACCAAUAACGACGUGGAGGGCUGGCACAACAGACUAAAUUCCCGUGUCAACGCCAGAGGUCCUGUGCCAUUUUAUCUAUUGAUUUGCGCACUUUUUUCAGAAGCUACAAAGAUACCACUGGACCUCACAAUGAUGUCGGAAGGUUCAUUGAGACGACACCAAAGACGUCGGUAUCGACAUGUAGAAGGCCAACUUUUUAAUAUAUGGGAUUCAUACAAUGAAAAACAGAUGAGCACUAGUAGACUAUUAAAAAAAAUAAGUCAUUUGUAUGGUCCACCCGCUCAGUGAAAAACAAUUACAUAAUUAAAAAAAUGAAAAAAAAAAAAAAAAAAAAUGAAUAGCCGACUAAAGCUAUUUUUUCAUCAAAUAAAUACACGUGUUGUUAUAAAUGUUGCGUUAAUGUAUGAAUGUG